GAUAUGGCCCAGGAUGAACGCUAGCGACAGGCUUAACACAUGCAAGUCGAGGGGCAGCAUGAUUUGUAGCAAUACAGAUUGAUGGCGACCGGCGCACGGGUGAGUAACGCGUAUGCAACUUACCUAUCAGAGGGGGAUAGCCCGGCGAAAGUCGGAUUAAUACCCCAUAAAACAGGGGUCCCGCAUGGGAAUAUUUGUUAAAGAUUCAUCGCUGAUAGAUAGGCAUGCGUUCCA
rnacentral:rRNA from 1 species